rnacentral:rRNA from 1 species
CAGUAGCCGCGGUAAUACGAGGGGUGCAAGCGUUAUUCGGAUUGAUUGGGUGUAAAGGGUGUGCAGACGGCUUAUUAAGUCACUUGUUAAAUUCUUCGGCCUAACUGAAGGUCUGCAAGUGAUACUGAUGAGCUAGAGGGUGGAAGAGAGAAGUGGAAUUCUCGGAGUAGCGGUAAAAUGCGUAGAUCUCCAGAGGAACACCAAUGGCGAAGGCAGCUUCUUGGUCCAUUCCUGACGUUCAUACACGAAAGCGUGGGGAGCGAACAGGAUUAGAUACCCGCGUAGUCCCUGUCUCUUAUAC